rnacentral:lncRNA from 1 species
GGCGUCCGCUAGGGCGCGCUGCGAGACCGGGAAUGCCCGCCCGGCGCCCCGCCGCCCCGGCCGCGCGCACACGCCGUGCCCUCGCCCCCCUCGAAAUCAUAUUUACAGUUCUUUUUUUUCCCCCCUCUCCUGUGACAUUUUCUCCAAAUCGGAAAAUGAAGUGUAAGUCGAGCUUUGCCGCAGGCGGCCCUCGGUCUCCGCUUUCCGGCUCGGGGUCCCGGAGUGAGAUGCGCUGCCCCCGGCAGUGCGAACCCCGGGGGACGGAGUGGGGCCCCCAGCCCAGCACCCCGGGCCCGGCCGCUCCGCCAGCGGAGACCGCGGAGUCCGGCUCUGCGCCGCGCGCGGGUGCGCUCCGGACGCGGCGAGUCGCAGGCCUCGCCGCGGGUUCAAGUGCAUCCCCGCGGCUGGAGCCCGCGGCUCUGAGAGCGAGUUCUGCCCUGCUCAGCCCCCUCUGGGAGUUCUGUGCGCCCGCGGCUCCCGGGCCCCUCUCCCCGACCCCGCAGCGCGCUGGGCCGCCGGCUGGGGGCAGGCACCCGGCUCGCGCUCCUCCUGGCCCGGGCCGGGCCCCCGGCGCGGCGCUGCCCCCGGGCCGAGCAGGAGGCUCCGCCUGGAAAAGAAGUCAGACUUCCUCUCCACGCUGCUCCGACUGGAAUCUGGAAUCGGCAGGAAAUUGCUCCAACACCCGGGCCGCGCCUUUGCAGUCAGCCCUCGCUUUGCUGAAGAGAAGCAGCUCCCACCAAAGUCUUGCCUCCCCCUCCCCCCGAAAGCCCCGCGCAGCUACCCAUCUGGGACAGUGCUUCCAGUCUCCUGUGCAUCUAGCUGGGGUCAUGUGACGAGUUUUCACCACUGGAAAACGAGCAGAAGGAGCAUUUCUAAGAAGUGAAUGUGCCAUCUCCACUAUCUCUGAGGGCAGGAAAUGAUUCUGAAGACAUAGGGCAAGGCCAAGCCUCAAGUUAGAAACCUGAAUCCUUCAUCCCACAGCUUUCAAGCUCAACAUGCCCAUCCCUCCCCAGACCCAUUAAGUGGCAAAGAAGGGAAAUAUUUCUACUUUCUUCAUGGUCUUCGAAAGGAUGGACACACAGCCCUGAGGGAAAUCGCUGGCCAGAGGAAAGCAGUCCCCUAGAGAUAGCAAUCCAAAUAUCAUCAUAGAGCUGGGCCACAGCCAGCAUCUCCAUCAGCAACUUUGAAGAGUUGUCUGUCUUCCCAGCACAAUAAAACUGGAGACAUGAGCAUCCAGAGCUCCAGCCAGCACAAUUACAUGAAGCCAAAGCGCAUUAUCACUUCUAGGUUGCAGGAUUUAUGACCAGCUCCGAUGGAAAAUAAAGACAGAGAUACUCUACUUGUCUGAAUUCAUCACUCACAAAAGGCAGUAUGUUUUAAUCAUAGAGAAGUUGUCUAUAUUGUACUUUUUCUAACAAAAACCUUCACAAGCAGAGCAGAAACGGAUACCAGCAUCUUAAAGAAAAAAAGAAAAAUGCAAAAGAUUGCCAGUUUGAUUCUGUUCAGAAAAUAUGCCCUUGAUAUCCUUUAUUGUUGAAAAGCUCCUUUCAAAUGCAUUGAGGCAAGUGCUUCUAUUUUGGAGUUUCCCUGGGUUUGGGAAACUGCUUCUAACCUGAGUGGAACAGAGGGGUAGGUUUGUAGGUCUGUAUGGUGUAUCAGUGUCAGCUGAUCCAGGGACUAAGUAAUGAGGCUAAAAUCAUUCUACUUCUAGGAUGCCUGUGACUUCCAUUUGCCAUGAGAGUGUUAAUUCCUGUGGCAGUACGCCUGCCAUGAGCUCCCCCAGAGCCAUGCUCUUCACCAGCACAGCAUUCUCAGGCAUUACUACAGAUGCUCAUUAAUCAUCUCUACUCUAGGAGGUACGCCCUGUGAGCUCAGACUCUUGGUGUUCCUGGCUCAGUGCUAGGACAUGGUGAAUGCAGAAAAUAUUGAAGAGCUCUGAUUAGGUUGUGAUUUUAAGUAAUUAAAAUUCUUGGGCUGGCCCUGUGGCAUAGUGGUUAAGUUCAGCAUGCUCCACUUCAGCAGCCUGGGUUCAGUUCCAGGGUGUGGACUCAAACCACUCAUUGGUGGCCGUGCUGUGGUGGCGACCCACAUACAAAAUAGAAGAAGAUUGGCACAGAUGAUAGCUCUGGGAGAAUCUUCCUCAAGCAAAAAGAGGAAGAUUGGCAACAGGUAAUAGCUCAGGACCAAUCUUCCUCAGCAGAAAAAAAUUAUUUACAAGGACCAUUUGUUUUCACUGUUAGUUCCCUCAUAGACAAAGAAAGGGUAAACCAGUGUGGUUUUUGUCUAAUGUUUUCAAAUUUUGAAUUAUUUAAAUACAUGUUGGUGAAAUUGCUAUUUAACUGUUUAUCAGAACCAAAAUUACAGCCUCAAACCUUCCACAAAAUGGAAAAGACUGUUUGGAAAAGGAAGGAAGGUGCCACAUAAUCCUUUAAACACAAGAUUCAGCCCUUACUUCUACUGAUGCUUGGAAUAGCUCCCAAAACCCUAAAAGUGGGUUUGUUUCCGGAACACCUGGACCAGAGACCACAUUUUUAUGAGGUUUGCCUUUCACAGUGAAGUUUACAUCAGGGAGCUAUAUUUUCCCUAUAUUUACUUUUAAGUCAUUUGGGUUUUCUAAUAAAAUAACAAUUCUCAUUUUCUUCCUUCUUCCCAGAUGAACACAUUUAUUGUUUUAAUCUGUGAAAGGUUCUACAUGGGGCUGUGGUUGAUGAUUGGGACGCUCUGGAAUGGUGCAUUAGGAAAAGAAUAUUAUUUACAUUUAGGAAAAUACUCAGUUGGCUGAAUGUCUAGCCACUAAAAUAAUAACAGUUCGUCAAAACAUAGUUAUCCCAAAUAUCCUUUCAAGAGCGGCGAUCAGAUUUCCUGAAGAGUCCAAGAUGAGGAUGAGAAUUGUGAGGAGGCGAGACCAGAGGGACAAACCAGGUUUGGAAACAGGAAGUAGGUCAAGGAAUUGAGGGUUUGAAAUAUAGGAAAAGAAAGAACUCAUGGAAUUCUCCUCCGUAGACGUCUAGUCUGAACGUAAUCCAGGCUGGUGGGAGGUAAAAUCACUAUCUGAUAUUCUGUGGCCACCUCAAAAAUGUGUUGGUAGUUUCAACCAGACUGGAGUCCACAUUGAAAAACCAUCAGCCCCACUGCCUCAGGCUGCACAGCACAGCUACAGGCCCAAAUCUGCCCAGAGGGACCCAGUGCCACUUAUGGUCAGGAUGGGGGUUGGUGGGGAGAAGAGCAGCAUGUGUACUCAAGCUGGUCGCUAAGGGGGACAGUGGGGGUGUCCAGUCCAGGGCGAUGCAUUCAGCUCCGCUCUGGAGCAGUAAACAGAGAAGUGACAAGAGGCUGGGCUCCCUUGUUGUUGUUGUUGUUAGUGCCUUUGAGUUGAUUCUGACUCUGUGAAGCAGAGCAGAACCCUGCUUUUUGCCCCAUCCUCUCACCUUUUGGUGCUGUAUCAGACGAUGCUCUGCUGUUAAUCAUAGGAGUUUCAUGGCCAGUGUUUUUGUAAGUGGGUGGCCAGGUCCUUCUUCCUAGGCUGUCUUAGUCUGGAAGCUCUGCUGAAACCUGUCCACCCUGGGUGACCCUGCUGGGACUUGAAUUUCUAGUGGCAUAGCCUUCAGCAUCAUAGCAACACGCAGACACCACAGGAUGACAACCAAGAGAUGGCAGUGUGGUUCCCUGACCAGGAAAGGAACUCGAGUCCUGGUGGUGAGAGUUCCGAAUCUUAACCACUUGGCCACCAGGGCUGGCUAAGCUCUUUUGUUAGGAACUCUUAAUCUUGUAAGGUGACCAUAGAUUGGUAGAUUUAUUUUUUUAUUCAAAUAAUAACUUGGAGUAUAUAUAUAAUAAAUAUGUAUGUGUAUAUGUACAUGCUUGAUUAGUAUUUAUAUAAAAGUGAAUGUAUUAAAACAUUCUAAACUUACAUUGUGGUGAUGGUUGCGCAUCUCUGUGAAUACACUAAAACCCAUUAAGUUGUACACUUUAAAUGGAUAAGUUUUAUGAUAUGUGAUUAUAUCUCACUAAAGAUGUUUUCAUCCCUUUAUUUUUCUAAAAAUAAAAAUUGUAGACUGGGU